GACGAACGCUGGCGGCGUGCCUAAUACAUGCGAGUUGAGCGCUGAAGGUUGGUACUUGUACCAACUGGAUGAGCAGCGAACGGGUGAGUAACGCGUGGGGAAUCUGCCUUUGAGCGGGGGACAACAUUUGGAAACGAAUGCUAAUACCGCAUAAAAACUUUAAACACAAGUUUUAAGUUUGAAAGAUGCAAUUGCAUCACUCAAAGAUGAUCCCGCGUUGUAUUAGCUAGUUGGUGAGGUAAAGGCUCACCAAGGCGAUGAUACAUAGCCGACCUGAGAGGGUGAUCGGCCACAUUGGGACUGAGACACGGCCCAAACUCCUACGAGAGGCAGCAGUAGGGAAUCUUCGGCAAUGGACGAAAGUCUGACCGAGCAACGCCGCGUGAGUGAAGAAGGUUUUCGGAUCGUAAAACUCUGUUGGUAGAGAAGAACGUUGGUGAGAGUGGAAAGCUCAUCAAGUGACGGUAACUACACAGAAAGGGACGGCUAACUACGUG
rnacentral:rRNA from 1 species